ACCGAUUCAGGGGAAUCUUGGCGUGAAUAUUUCAAUUCGGAACGGCGGAAACCGACAUUGGUCCCUGCCGAAUCACCGAUUUUGAAACGCUGAGUGCACUCAGUGCAGCACGUCGCGCGUUUCUUCUACCCACGAGGCUACGACAUAGCAAAAGACUCUCAUCUCUGCGACUAUCGUCUUUUUGCAGUGACUACCAUGGCUCUCUCCUCCUGCACUUCGUACAUUUCCACUCCCAUCUCCUUUUCUCUUUCCUCCCCUUUCAGAAGCGGAACAUCUGAGGUUGUUACUCUGAAUGCCUUUUCCCUUUCUUUUACUCAGCGCCUUCACUCCUCAAUCCCUUCCGUUUCGUCCUUCCCCACAACCACGAUAAAACCCAUCUUCUUAAGGUUCUCCAUAGAGCCUCCGAGGGUGGCAGCACAGCAGAAAUAUGUUUAUCCCGACCCAAUUCCAGAAUUUGCAGAGGCUGAAACCCAGAAGUUCAGGGGCGAGCUUCUGAAGAAGCUCUCCAAGGACAGGGAGACGUUUGGAGAAGAACUCGAUGCGGUCGUAAAGGUCUGUGCUGAGAUUUUGUGUUAUACACACCAAGGAGGAAAUAUUCAGAACUGGAGAAUUUUUGGUGGAACAGAUCUGGAGAUUGGCAUAAAAAUAUAAGGUUGAUGGAAGAGCUUCAUUCUCCUACUAUGUUCAUUCAUGUGGGUAAACCGUCUUUUAACCCUCCAAGUUGAUAUUCAGUGAUUUCCUGCACAAGGAGUAUGGAGGCCCUGGAACGUUAUUGGUGGAACCUUUCACAGAUAUGCUAGUUGCUCUUAAGGAGAAGAAGCUGCCAGGAGCACCUGUGGCUGCACGGGCUGCACUUUUA